rnacentral:misc_RNA from 1 species
CGAAUCUCUAUGUUUCUCUCUCCCUAGAAAAAUCUAAUCGCUAAUCCCUUGCGCCUCCUCCCCCGUAGGGAUAUUCUAUCUCUGACGGCCGCCGGCUUCCUCUGUCUCCCUCCGCAACCAGCGACACUUCACAUUCAAUUAAAGUUUUGAAAUAUUCUCCGAGUGAUUAGAGAGAUUUUGACAGAACUAAACCAAGUGAUCAGUAGUGAAUUUUAAGGUUUUAAUGAUCCUAGAACAGUUUGAUCUGUAAGCGAGAUUCAAGGGAGAGGAAGAAUGAAACAGGCAAGGGUGGGUCUAUGUUCUGUUGUUAAGUGAACCUCAAUUGCCAGCCCAGCGGACUACGGCAGGUCCCGUGAGAGGGACAAAAGGGAAAUUUGAGGGAAUAAAAGUGAAAUAAGAGAACCCUCUUAUCCUCCGCACCCCUUCUAUUUUUCUGUCUGUCUCUCUCCCUCCCUCUCAUUGCAGUAGUCUACUCUCUGUUCUCCCCAUUUUCUUUUUGGGACCGCUUAACCCAGCAUUUCAUUACAACCAAAAAAGACAACCUCCAGUGAUGACCGUUAAUGCCCGUUGGGGCAUGCUUCUGAUUUCUCCUUAACUCCAUCUACUCCUGAUGUUGUUUUAUUAUCUUCAUCAUCACCACCACUGCCUAGACUCUUUGUCAUGGUCGGAUCCGCUUGGAUUUGGUUUUUUCUUGAUGAAAAUUAAGUACCCAUUAGCAUUUUGCUGGUCUAAUUCUCAAAUUCAUUCUCAAUCAGAUCUGGGUCUUUUAAAAGAUGUACUCUUUUUCUAAUUUUCAGUUUCCUUUUUCUUUUUUAUUCGUUUAUUCUUUGCUUUUUCUUGCCAUUCUGUAGUAUCUUCACUUUUUUCUGGUUUAUGGCAGAUUUAUUGCGGGGAAAAGUAUCUUCUUUUUGAACAGUUGGAUUGAUUCCACCUCCAGUGUUGAAUACAUGAAAGCCGAAGCUGUCAGAUGUGGUUCAAUUAUGUGAAAAAAUUCAUCAAUGUGGUCUAAUUUGGAUAUUGUUUGAUGGAUGUAUAUGAAUCACAGAAGCGCACAGCCGUGGAUAAACCAAGAGCUCCCUUGGUUCCAGCUGAAGGGAACAGCAAUGCAGCAGCUACAGCCCGCCGCCCUCGAACGAGGGAAGUUAGUUCUAGGUGCAAAUCGCCAACUCCUUCUGUUUCUAGGCGUUGUGUAUCACCAAGCCUAUCGAGAACACUGCCUACAACUUCCCAAGUGGUGUCCAAAAGAGCCAAAUCAGCCGAGAGGAGGCGCCCUUCAACUCCACCAUCAACCUCAAGCCCCUCUACACCUGUUCAUGAUUCAUCUGUUGAUAUGCAGUUGCCAUCUAGAAGGCUAAGUACUGGGAACCGGUUACCAGAAAGUUUAUGGCCUUCUACAAUGAGAAGUCUUAGUGUUUCCUUUCAAUCCGAUUCUAUUUCCAUUCCUAUCAGCAAGAAGGAAAAACCAGUCAGUAACAUUUCUUCUGAUCGUACCUUGCGGUCAUCUUCAAAUGUGGCUCAUAAACAGGCCGAAGCACCUGCCGGAUCACGGAAGCCUACACCACAAAGAAAGAGGAGUCCUCUUAAAGGGAAGAAUGUACGGGAUCAGUCAGAGAAUGCUAAACCGAUAAAUGGUUUGCAUACUAAAUUGAUUGAUCAGCAUCGAUGGGCUAGCAGGUUAGGUGGGAAGGUAUCUUCCAAUUCAUCGAAUAAAAGUGUAGAUCUCACUGAUAAGACUGUGAAAGCUUUAUUUAAACCAAUUGGAAUUGGUUUAUCUUCACUCAGGAAAAUGUCUGUGCAUGGUAGUAAUAUUAAACCUCUACAAAAAUCAGCUAGUGAUGCUGCAAAAUUAUCAUGUCUAGAAGAUAGUGGCAGGAUAAGGUCUGGGGCAAAUUCUGCAGAUGAUGAUUCCCUACAGGUAUCCGGAGCUCAUAAGCUUGUUUCAGCAAAUUUAUCAAAUAGAAUGUCUUUAGUAAUUCCUGCAGUUAGAUCACAGUCCUUGCCUACUCAUGGAUCAUGCCCUCCAUCACCAAGUAGGACCUCCGUUAGUAGAGGUGUCAGUCCAGCUUGCGCAAGACCAUCCACUCCUCCUUCUAGAGGUGUCAGCCCUUCUCGGACAAGGCCAUCAGGUGUCUCUAGUCAAUCCAAUAGUUCUACUUCAGUGCUUAGUUUUAUAGUGGAUUUUAAGAAAGGCAAAAAAGGUGCAAGCAUUGAAGAAGCUCAUCAGAUACGGUUGUUAUACAAUAGAUAUUUGCAGUGGCGAUUUGCUAAUGCCAGGGCAGAGGCUGUUCUUUAUUUUCAGAAAGUAAAUUCAGCGAAAACUCUGUACAAUGUUUGGAAGAGUACAUUAGCUCUGUGGGAGUCAGUAAGCAGCAAAAGAAUCAAUCUCCAACAGCUGAAGCUAGAGCUUAAACUGAAUGCUGUUUUGAAUGAUCAAAUGGCCUACCUAGACGAUUGGGCUUCACUUGAAAGAGAUCAUUUGAAUUCAUUAUCCGGGGCUUUGGAAGAUUUGGAGGCAACCACUCUUCGUCUUCCGGUGACUGGAGGGGCAAAGGCAGAUAUAGAUUCCUUGAAGGUUGCUAUUUGCUCAGCUGUCGAUAUGAUGCAGGCAGUGGGAUCCUCCAUAUGUUCUUUACUUUCAAGGGUGGAGGGGAUGAAUGAAUUGGUUUCUGAGCUUGCUGUCGUAGCAGCAGAAGAGAAAGCUCUGCUUGAUGAAUGUGAAGCUUUAUUGGCUUCAACAGCAGCUUUACAGUUAGAGGAGUACAGCAUUAGAACACAUCUCAUACAGGUGAAAACGUGCUCUUGAGAAUCAAAAAAAUCUUGGUGAUGAGAACCCCUCUAUGGCCUGAUCAACUGCUAUGCUAAUCUUUACCAGUUACCACUUGAGAGAUAAAUCAAUAGCCUAUGAUCUCAGUAAAUGUAAAUUAUUAUUAUUUUUUUUAAUGUUUUAAAUUUAUUUUUUUUUCUUUUAUGCUUUAGUGGGAAAUUUCAUCUGGGUUAAUUCUUCUCUUCCUUUUUUCAAUAGUGAGCUGUUGGCUCCACGGCUUCCACUUGUAAUUUUUGUCUCUCUCAAAAGAAAAGAAAAAUGAAAAGGUAAUAAAGGAUUGAAAAUUAUAUUUAAGAACAGUUUUUGAGGGGAAAGGGCAAAAAGAAAAAAAAAAGUGGUAGUCCAAUGCGAUUUCGUGUGUGCAUAGCUGC